UCGGCUUUCUGAGGGAGCUCGUGAAUAGCACGCAGGGAAUUCAGCAAAACACCGGGGCUCUAACUGCUCCUGAAUGAGACAGAAUUAGAAAAUGACUUCAAAUUGAAAACUUAAUUUUCAAUUAGUGUACAUUCAGGCAGGAGUGGGAGGGACUCGGGGAUGACAGCCUGUUUGCUUAACACGCUUUUUAGAAGACAUGCUUGCAAGCUAUUAGUUAGCUUCCUUCUUCCCUCCCUGUCCCCACCACCCUAACCGCUCCUCACACUGUAAUUUGGCAGCGGCUGCUUGCAGGCCUGCUGUGCGCUUGGUCCCUGACUGACUCAGAUGCAGAUGGCAGCAGAGGCAGCCACAGGAAGUGGGAUGCAGCCUGUCACCUCUGAGACUGGCUUGUGCUUGUCAACCUCGCUGUGGACCCUGUGAGGCUACAGUCCAUUUCAGAAAUCUGAAGACCAGAGCUGGAAGGAUCUUUGGAGGUCAGCAAGGUCAAGUUCCUUUAUUUGCAGGUGAGAAAACAGAUCAAACAUAGAAGAAAAGUGACUUUCUCAAGAUUAUACAUUCU
rnacentral:lncRNA from 1 species